UACGUAGGCAGCGAGCGUUGUUCGGAGUUACUGGGCGUAAAGGGUGUGUAGGCGGUUGUUUAAGUUUGGUGUGAAAUCUCCCGGCUCAACUGGGAGGGUGCGCCGAAUACUGAAUGACUUCGAGUGCGGGAGAGGUGAGUGGAAUUCCUGGUGUAGCGGUGAAAUGCGCAGAUAUCAGGAGGAACACCGAUUGCGAAGGCAGCUCGCUGGGACGUCACUGACGCUGAGACGCGAAAGCGUGGGGAGCAAACAGG
rnacentral:rRNA from 1 species